UACGAGAGCCCCAAGCGUUAUCCGGAAUUACUGGGCGUAAAGAGUUUGUAGGCGGCAUAGUUAGUCUUCUGUUAAAUCCAUCGGCUCAACCGAUGAACUACCGAGGAAACGGCUAAGCUUGAGUGUGUGAGAGGUGAAUGGAACUCAUAGUGUAGGGGUGAAAUCCGUUGAUAUUAUGGGGAACACCAAAUGCGAAGGCAGUUCACUGGCACACAACUGGCGCUGAGAAACGAAAGCGUGGGUAGCGAAAGGG
rnacentral:rRNA from 1 species